GGAAAUGAAUGCUGCGUUCACGUGUGGUAGACGGUUUGGAACUUUGACAUGGAAUUACUGAGAAGGGUCCGGCUGUAGGCCGAAGAGUCGGCCUUCCAUAGUCCGUAGAAAGAAAAAGAGAAGAGCUGCUGUACAGUUUUUCCAAUUCGAAAAAGAAAUGGAGCUGAAAACGUUUUCUGCCACUGAACAAUGGCACAACAGAAUCAGUCGCAUUUCUCCAUAAAGGCAGAGAAUAUAAAACCAACUUUGAUUACAUUGAGUAAAUAUCAAAAUCAAUCCAAAGCAAAGACCACAGCAUCCUGCUAACAGCCUUCAGAGACAUGAAGGCCACAUUUAUGUAGUAUGCAGUCCUCUUUAGAAUGAAAUGCCGUCUUCCGUCUUUGAGGAAGUGCUGCUGUAGAAUGUUGCUUGAAAACUCCAGCCCCAAGAGGUUUAGACUUUAUUGAGCCAUUAAUGAAAAGACAGAAGAUCAGUAAAGACUUGCACUACCUCUGAAGUGAACAAAUGUCUCGCUAUUCCAUAGCACUGUGUUCUGCAGGUUUCAGAUUUUUUUCUUUUACAAGAAACGUCGGCCUCCCUUCUCCAAUAUCCAGCACAAGAUUCCUUGUAAAUGUGAAGGAAAAGGCUAUAAGCUUUAUGAUGACCAUUUAAAGAACUUUUUUUUUCUUUUUUUAAUAAAACGUAUUACAGCAACACGGAAUCCUUCAGCAUCUUACCGAGGCAGAGAAAUGCUGUGCUGAGAACAUUUCUAUGUUCAGGGGGCUAAUCUCACUCCCUGCAUUACUGUCAAUGGACAAAGACGACAUUGAGGAGGCCCUUCAGAAAUUUGAUUUGUUAUCUGAAUUUCCAGAAGAAGAGGAGAGGGAAUAUGUCUUCAGACCCUUCAUCAUCCUUUUUUUUUCACACAUGGAAGACAUGCAUCUGUUUUUAGAUAACGUGAGAGAAAAAAGGAAAAUGACUGUUUAGUGAGAAAAUGUAGCAAACAUAUAUGGCCAUCAUUGUUCAGUUUACAACCUACAAUUCUUGUUCUAUAUUUUAUAUAUUCUGUAACUUUUUUUGUAAUAAAUGUUGCAAACCAACUUCA